rnacentral:tRNA from 1 species
AGGGCUGUAGUUAAUUAUAACAUUUGAUUUGCACUCAAAAAGUACUAGAUAAGUCUGCCUUA